rnacentral:rRNA from 1 species
UACGGGGGGGGCAAGCGUUGUUCGGAAUUACUGGGCGUAAAGGGCCAGUAGGUGGCCAACUAAGUCCGACGUGAAAUCCCAAGGCUUAACCUUGGAACUGCGUCGGAUACUGGAUGGCUUGAAUUCGGGAGAGGGAUGCAGAAUUCCAGGUGUAGCGGUGAAAUGCGUAGAUAUGUGGAGGAACACCGAUGGCGAAGGCAGCCCCCUGGGUUAACACUGACGCUCAUGCACGAAAGCGUGGGGAGCAAACAGG